UCUCGAGUUCAUACAAGUCCACAAACAAUCGUUGAUCAGGCAAUUCAUAAAUUGACGCUCAAAUUAAUAUAGAUAAACUCGAUAAUAGCUUAUUAAACUGAAAUCAAAGUUUACAUAACCAUCGUUCCACUUAAAGAUCCGUCUUAAGCCUAAAAAGUAAUUAGUUCAUAAUAAAUGAAAUAAAAACUGAAUAAAUCAAAGAUAUCAUCUUCUCAAUUACAGAAAUAAACUAAAGUAGAAGAAUAACACAAAACACCCUUCAAUUUAGUCUCAAUCCGCAAUCAAUACGAUCGUUCUUCAAAAUCUCCACUCCGUUGCUCGCUAUCAAAAAUUGUGAUUAAUCUUCGUUAGUUGCUUUGCAUGAUGAUUAAUUCGUUGUUUGUUGAGGAAUAUAUAUCUAACAUGAAGUCCUGGCCAAAAUCCCAUGUACAUUAGAGUCCAAGCGCAUUCUACAAACUAAAAUCUGUGUUCCAGCAGAGUUUCAAGCGAAACAGGACACCUAGAAUUCGGGACCCCCGCCCCGGCGGGGGUAUACAAGCCAAAUAGGCUCGCCCCGGUGGGCUACCUCCCUGCUAACUGAUGUUGCUUGCUUCAUGUUUGCUUCCAUAAUUGCUCCAAAUGACCUCCUUUCUUCACUAUUUGCCACAACAACCACCCUGCACAUAAAAGAACACGAAACGAGUAAAAACGAACACGAAAACAAGAAAAUAACAACGAUUAAGCUUGAAAUGGACAUUGAUUCGUGGAUAUAAAAUCCAUUUAUCAGGCACCCGGACAUGAUACUCAAGAUUGUUGGGCCUUGAAGCACAAGAUCUAAGAUUUAAUAGACAACGGUGAGAUCGUGGUCACCAAACCAGAUCAACCUCACGUACAAGACAACCCUCUUCUUCAACAGAAAGAGGAAUAGGUCAACAUGAUUAAUUGGAGCAGUGGACAGAGUUACAAUUUUAACUGUGAAUCAUCCUAGACCAUCAAAGAUGGUGUUGACAAAUGGGAUUAUUCAAAGUUCUAGUUCGCAUCUGUCCUUAUGCUACUUUGUUGAAGAUGAACGUCGAUCUCAAAUGAAUCCGAAGCAGCCAUACGGUUAUUAAAGCUUUCGACGGAUCCCGCCGAAAUUCAGUCAG
rnacentral:lncRNA from 1 species